rnacentral:misc_RNA from 1 species
GAUGAAGAACGUAGCGAAAUGCGAUAAGUAAUGUGAAUUGCAGAAUUCAGUGAAUCAUCGAAUCUUUGAACGCACAUUGCGCCCAUUAGUAUUCUAGUGGGCAUGCCUGUUCGAGCGUCAUUUCAACCCUCAGGCCCCCGGGCCUGGCGUUGGGGAUCGGCGGAAGCCCCCUGCGGGCACAACGCCGUCCCCCAAAUACAGUGGCGGUCCCGCCGCAGCUUCCAUUGCGUAGUAGCUAACACCUCGCAACUGGAGAGCGGCGCGGCCACGCCGUAAAACACCCAACUUCUGAAUGUUGACCUCGAAUCAGGUAGGAAUACCCGCUGAACUUAAGCAUAUCAAUAAGCGGAGGA